GAAGGUUUCUGAGUUUCCUCUUCAGCUGGAAUGUGAACUUUAUAAAGAUGAUUCAUGGAACUCUUAGAAAUCAACUUCAGUUUUUUCCAAAAUCCAUCAUAGUUCAUGUUUCAGAACAUUACUCCUGAGCAUGGACAAAAGCAUCUGGAGUUUUUUUACAGAAUUGCCAUUUAUGCCAGAUGAGGAUUUUCUUUUCCACAAAUCAGAUACAGG